rnacentral:rRNA from 1 species
UACGAAGGGGGCGAGCGUUGUUCGGAUUUACUGGGCGUAAAGGGCGCGCAGGCGGCUCAUUUUGUCAGGCGUGAAAGCCCCGGGCUUAACCUGGGAACUGCGUUUGAUACGGAUGGGCUAGAGUUCGGGAGAGGAGAGUGGAAUUCCCAGUGUAGAGGUGAAAUUCGUAGAUAUUGGGAAGAACACCGGUGGCGAAGGCGGCGCUCUGGACCGAGACUGACGCUGAGGCGCGAAAGCGUGGGGAGCAAACAGG